rfam:Salmo salar isolate Sally breed double haploid chromosome ssa06, whole genome shotgun sequence.
UACACGCAUGAUUGUAAGUCGCUGUGGAUAAAACCGUCUGCUAAAUAGCAUUUA